AUCCGGUGGUUCCGCAUGGAAGGGCCAUCGCUCAACGGAUAAAAGCUACCCCGGGGAUAACAGGCUUAUCUCCCCCAAGAGUCCACAUCGACGGGGAGGUUUGGCACCUCGAUGUCGGCUCAUCGCAUCCUGGGGCUGUAGUCGGUCCCAAGGGUUGGGCUGUUCGCCCAUUAAAGCGGUACGCGAGCUGGGUUCAGAACGUCGUGAGACAGUUCGGUCCCUAUCCGUCGCGGGCGCAGGAAAUUUGAGAGGAGCUGUCCUUAGUACGAGAGGACCGGGAUGGACGCACCGCUGGUGUACCAGUUGUUCUGCCAAGGGCAUCGCUGGGUAGCUAUGUGCGGACGGGAUAAGUGCUGAAAGCAUCUAAGCAUGAAGCCCCCCUCAAGAUGAGAUUUCCCAUUCCGCAAGGAAGUAAGAUCCCUGAAAGAUGAUCAGGUUGAUAGGUCUGAGGUGGAAGUGUGGCGACACAUGGAGCUGACAGAUACUAAUCGAUCGAGGACUUAACCAUUUU
rnacentral:rRNA from 1 species